rnacentral:rRNA from 1 species
GAGUCCCUUUUCUGAGUAUAAGCAAUUGUACGGCGAAACUGCGAAUGGCUCAUUAUAUAAGUUAUCGUUUAUUUGAUAGCACCUUACUACUUGGAUAACCGUGGUAAUUCUAGAGCUAAUACAUGCUGAAAACCCCGACUCCGGAAGGGGUGUGUUUAUUAGAUUCAAAACCAAUGCCCCCCGGGCUCACUGGUGAUUCAUGAUAACCUCUCGAAUCGCACGGCCUUGCGCCGGCGAUGGUUCAUUCAAAUUUCUUCCCUAUCAACUUUCGAUGUUUGGGUAGUGGCCAAACAUGGUUGCAACGGGUAACGGAGGGUUAGGGCUCGGCCCCGGAGAAGGAGCCUGAGAAACGGCUACUACAUCCAAGGAAGGCAGCAGGCGCGCAAAUUACCCAAUCCCGACGCGGGGAGGUAGUGACAAUAAAUACUGAUACAGGGCUCUUUUGGGUCUUGUAAUUGGAAUGAGUACAAUUUAAAUCCCUUAACGAGGAACAAUUGGAGGGCAAGUCUGGUGCCAGCAGCCGCGGUAAUUCCAGCUCCAAUAGCGUAUAUUAAAGUUGUUGUGGUUAAAAAGCUCGUAGUUGAACCUUGGGCCUGGCUGGCCGGUCCGCCUCACCGCGUGCACUGGUCCGGCCGGGCCUUUCCCUCUGUGGAGCCCCAUGCCCUUCGCUGGGCGUGGCGGGGAAGCAGGACUUUUACUUUGAAAAAAUUAGAGUGCUCCAGGCAGGCCUAUGCUCGAAUACAUUAGCAUGGAAUAAUGAAAUAGGACGCGCGGUUCUGUUUUGUUGGUUUCUAGGACCGCCGUAAUGAUUAAUAGGGGACAGUCGGGGGCAUCAGUAUUCAAUUGUCAGAGGUGAAAUUCUUGGAUUUAUUGAAGACUAACUACUGCGAAAGCAUUUGCCAAGGGAUGUUUUCAUUAAUCAGGAACGAAAGUUAGGGGAUCGAAGACGAUCAGAUACCGUCGUAGUCUUUACCAUAAACUAUGCCCGACUAGGGAUCGGGCGAUGUUAUCUUUUUGGACUUCGCUCGCAACUUGCGAGAAAUCAGUGCUUGCUCAGGGAGUAUGUCGCCAAGGGCCUUGAAAACCUUCAGUG